UUUCUGAAAAACCAAGGUUAAUGACUACCCAGGACUUGCCUUUCUCAAGCACUUCUAUCUAAGCCAGAGGUAUCUGGUAUAUAGGUUUUUUAAUUCCACCGGGUGAGGUUGGACUAUCAGAUGGAAGAAGUUGAGAUGCUGCAGAGAGAAGGGGUCAGAUGAGAAUCUUUUCCUUUUGUAAGGCCUGGGUUGGUCAUAAGGUGGUGAUUCUUUUCACAGUCCCUGCGUCUGGUACCUGGGGGAACCAGGACAAGCUGAUACCCAGCAGAAGGAGUCCUGAGCAGGAAAAGUGCAUGAAAUGUCUGGUGUCUGUCUUGACUCACCAUUCUUGCUCAUUGGUACAUGUAAGACCUCCUUUGGGGACCCCCACAAUUACCUGGGGAGCACUUUGCCUGGAUUUGUGGGUCUACUUUGCGAGGUAGAGAAAAGAUCUCCUACAGAAGAUGAAGAGGAAGCAUAUUAGGUAUGUCCUAACUGUACUUUUAGUCUACAAUUAUUUAUGGAACACUUGCUGUGUGCCAGGUGCUUUCCUAGGUUCUAAAUACUAAUACUUAGCAGUAAGAAAAAAAAAUUCUUUCCCUCAGUGAACAUUCUCAUGAAAGGAAAAAGCAAUAAACAAAGCAAAUAAGUGAAAUACAUAGUAUGUCAGAUGGUGACAAAUUCUAUGGAGAAAAAUAAAGAGAAUAAGAGGGAAUUAUGGGAAAGAUCACAAUUUAAAGAUUUUAGAGCAUUUUUUUGUAUUUAAAAAAUUUUAAUUGGAAGAUAAUUGCUUUACAAUGUUGUAUUGUUUCUGCUGUACAACAUUGGGAAUCAUCAUAAUUAUAUAUAUAUAUAUAUAUCCCCUCCUUCUUGAGCCUUCCUCCCACCCCUGCUUUUUAGAGCAGUUGUAGGUUCACAGCAAAAUUGAGAAGAUAAUGCAGAGAUUUCCCAUAGACCUCCUGUCUCCACACACGUGCAGCCUCCCACAUUAUCAACAUCCCCCGAUCCUGGUCAGCUUGGUACAUUUGUUAACAAUUGAUGAACCUAUAUUAACACAUCAUCAACAUUAUCCAAAGUCCAUAGUUUACAUUAGGGUUCGCUUUUGGUGUGCUCAGCCUCUCACAUUAGCAGCACUGCCCCUGCCCCCGCCCCCAAUCAGCUUGGUACGUUUGUUACAAUUGAUGAACCUACACUGACACAUCUUUGGCAUCCAAAGUCCAUAGUUUACAUUAGGGUUCACUCUUGGUGCUGUGUAUUCUGUAUGUUUGGACAAGUGUAUGAUGACAUGUAUCCACCAUAGUGUCAUAUAAAGCUGAUCCAAGAAAAGGAAGAUAUUGAAUAAUAUCCUCUGAACUGAGAAGGAACUUUGAGUUAGAAAAAUGAAGGGGCAACUUCCUAAACUACAAUUACGAAGUUUCUUGUGGGGAAUUUACAUAUAAGCAGCUGGACAGUCCAGAAGGUACAGAGGGAUGGAAAGGGGCCAAAGCUAAAAAUAGAAUCUGAAAAAAAAAAGAAUCUGACUAGCAUGUGAGAAGCAGGACUGCACAGACUGGAACCCUGGUUUUUUCCUACCCUCGGGGGGUAUCAUAAUCUGCAUCAGCAAAAGGCAUUCUUUCAGUUUUCAUAUCAGAUGAAGGUAAGGGUAAAAGUUGACAGAGAACUUCCCUGGCUUGGGCACAUUCUUUGUGAAGAGGCUUAAGUUCAGUAACGAGAGGGGAGAACUGCAGGCCUAAGAUGGAACUGACAGUAUGGAGUCAGUGUGGUUCAGCCACACUCUCUGCCCAAAAAAUCCUCUGUGCUCUUCCUGUUCAUCCCACCUUCCUCCCAACCCCUGGCUGAUCUUUUUACUGCCUCCAUAGUUUUGCCUUUCCCAGAGUGUCAUAGAGUUGGAAUUAUACUGUAUGUGACUUUUUCAAGUUGACUUCUUUCACUAAAUAAUAUGUAUUUCAGUUUUCUUAAUGUCUUUUCAUGGCUUGAUAGCUCAUUUCUUUCUGGCAAUAAAUAAUCCUCCAUCUUCCGGAUGAGCCACAGUCAAUCCAUUCAUCUACUCAAGCACACCUUAGUUGCUUCCAAGUUUUGGUAAUUGUUGAUAAAAUUAUUUUCAGCAUCUACCUGCAGGUUUUUGUGUGGAUGUAAGUUUUCAACUCCUUUGGGUAAAUACUGAGAACGUGAUUGAUAGAUCGUAUGGUAAGUGUAGGGUUAGCGUUGUAAGAAACUGCCAGCUGUCUUUCAAAGUGACUGUACCAUUUUGCAUUCCUAUCAGCAAUGAAUGAGAGUUCCUUUUGCUCCGUGUUCCUGCCAGCAUUUGGUGUUGUCAGUGUUCUGGCUUUUGGGUAUUCUAAUAGGUGUUUUUUUUUUUUUUAAUUCAAUAUUUAUAUACUUGGCUGCUCCAGGUCUUAGUUGCCGCUUGCGGGAUCUAGUUCCCUCACCAGGGAUUGAACUCAGGCACCCUGCAUUGGGAACAUGGAGUCAGUCUCUGGACCAUCAGUUAAGGUUCCUCUAAUAGGUGUUUUAUUGGUGUCUCAUUGUUGCUUUAAUUUGCAUUUCUCCGAUGACAUAUGAUGUGGAGCAUCUUUUUAUAUGUUUGUCAUUUGUGUAUCUUCUUUGGUGAGGUGUCUUCUAAGCUAGCUGUUUAGUCCCCUAUCUUUUUAUAUGAUUGAUGCUACUCUGAAGCCUUUUUUAAAAAAAGUCUUUGUUAAAUUUGUUACAAUAUUGCUUCUGUUUUAUACUUUGUUUUUUUGGCUGUGAGGCAUGUGGGAUCCUAGCUCCCUGACUAGAGAUCGAACCAGCACCUCCUGCAUUGGAAGGCGAAGCCUUAGCCUCUGGACCACCAGGGAAAGCCCUCCUCAACACUUUAAAUAUUUCACUUUACUCUUUUGCUUGAUUGGUUUCUGAGAAGUUGUAUGUAAUUUUUUUUUUUUUGUAUGUAAUUUUUAUCUUUGCUCUUCUGUAAGUGAUGUGUGUUUUCUCUCUGGCUUCUUUCAGAAUUUUUCUUUAUGUUUGAUUUUAUGUAGUUUGAAAAUGAUAUGCCUAGGUAUAGUUUUUUUUUAAUUUUUUUUUUGAGGAGGGGGCAUUUAUCCUGCUUGCUCCCUCUUGGCUUUCUGGAUCUGCCAUCUUGUGUCUGAUGUUAAUCAAUUUGAGGAAAUUCCCAUUACAGUUGUCACACUUUUUGUAGUUGUCCCAUAGUUCUUGGAUAUUUUGUUUCUGUAGUUUAGUCUUUGUUUUCUUUGAUUUUUAUUUUUAUUAUUUUAUUAUUAUUUUUUUCUUCUUUGAUUUUUAAUUUGGAGUUUUCUCUUGAGAUAUCCUUCAAGCUCAGAGAUUCUUCCUCAACUCUGCCCUGUCAGCUCACAAGCUCAUCAAAAGCAUUGUUCAUUUCUGUUAGAGUGUUUGAUCGUGUUAGUAUUCCUUCUUGGUUAUUUCUCAGAAUAUACAUCUCUUUUGCUUACAUUGCCCAUCUCUUCUUGCACACUAUCUGUUUUACCGAUUAUAUUAGAGUCCUUCGUUGUUUUAAAUUCCCUGUCUGAUAAUUCCGACAUUCCUCCAUGUCUGGUCCUGAUGCUUGCUCUGUCUCUUGAAGCUUCGUGUGCUCUUAGUAUGCUUUGUAACUUUUUUUUUUUUUAAAGAUUUUUGUCUUGAUGUGGACCAUUAAAAAAAAAUCUUCAAAAAAAAUCUUUAUUGAAUUUGUUACAAGAUUGCUCCCAUUUUAAAAAUGUUUUGGUUUUUUGACCACAGGCAUGUGGGAGUCUUAGUUCCCUGACCUGGGAUCAAACUGGGGCCCUCAGCAGUGAGAGCAGGGAAUCUAACCGCUGGACCACCAGGGGACUCCUGACAGGGAGUGUUUUAUUGGCCAGUGAUUAGGUCUCAGUCAUUUAGUGAGCCUGUGCCUCUGCAUUGUGAAUUUCAUAAGUGUUUCUCAGGUUUUUUUUUUUUUUUUCUCUCUCUACCUUUUUUCUGACCCACUUGGGUGGGACAGAAUGGUUAUAGGAGGCUGAAGUUGGGUAUUUCCCUUUCUGCAGGUCUGUUAGGCUUGAUGAAACCCUGGCAGGUUAAGUUCUAAUUAGCUAGUUUCUCCUGAGGGUAGUCCUUGUUAAGAACCAAGUGCUCUGCAGUAUUUCAAAAUAGUUCCUUUUCUUCUUCCCUAGCUACAAGCACAAGGACUUUUUUCUCCAGUAUUACUGCAAGAAGUUGAUUGAGUUCUUGAAGAUAAAAUUCACAAAAGCAUGCCCCGCCCACCCUUGUAACCAUGUCCUUUUGAAGAUUUAACUCUUAGACUUGUCCACACUCUCGGAAUUGUUUCCAGUAAUUCUCCAAGUUUCAGUUCCAGUGUCCCUAGCCCAACACUGGUUCCAGUGGAGGUUUCUGCCCCAGUGUAUUGUGAUUCUCUGCAGUUACCUGUUUCUCCAACUUUGGGGGGUAGUUGUUUGCCCUAUGACCUCACUUCUUUUAUGGAUCUCAGAAGUUUUUGAUUUUUCAGCUUGUUUAGCUUUUACCUUAGAAUGUCAGUUUCCAAGCCCUGUAGCUGUGGGACCAGAAAGGGCAACAGAUUACAGUUUUAAAUAAUGCACUCGCUUAACUUCCUUGCUCUGUCAUAACCUCACCUGCCUGAAUUCACAUCUCUGCAUUUGUCUCUUUUCUAGAUGUCACAGGUUUUUCAAUUUAAUUUUUAAGAUGAGCAAUAAUUUUGUGUGGUGCAGAAAAUGAAACUAAAUGGUACCAGCACCCAGCUUUUCCCCCUAGAAUAAGGAUCUCAAUCCUGUUAGAGAUAGGCUGUGCGUAUACAGUCAUAUCUGUGGGAUUUUCCUCCCUCUGUUUUUUUUUUUAAUUUAUUUUUAAUUGGAGGAUAAUUGCUUUACAGUGUUGUGUUGGUUUCUGCCCUAUAACAGUGUGAAUCAGCCAUAAAUAAGCAUAUGUCCCCUCACUCUUGAACCUCCCUCCCACCCACCCCACUUUGUUUUUGUUUGUGUGUUUUUGGUUAUGUUCAGUUCACAAUUGAUAAUGCUCAGUAAAGACUAUUCUGAACCUUAUUUUCAUUUUUAAGGUCGUUCCAUAUUGGUUUAUACAGAGCCUCCUCAUUCUUAGUCAUGGCUACAAAGUGUCUCAUUUUAUGCUUGUAUCAUAAUUUAGUUAACCACUUCCCUUUGAUCCAUUUAGACUGUUUCAAACCAUUUGCUAUUAUGAACAAUUUUGCACUAAAUAACCUUGUACAACUGUGAUUUUACACACAAUAAAGUCUAUCUGUAGAACAUGUUCUUAGAAGUAGAAUUUCUCUGUCAAAAGUAGACACGUUUUUUGAUUGGGAAAAUUUGUUCCUGGAAUUUGUGCCAAUUUGCAUUCCUCAAGUAAUGAACAAGGGCUCAUGUCCCCCCACCCCCCAACAACAAAGUUUUAUCAAUUUUUAAAAAAAUUUUUACCAGUGAGCUGGGUGAAAAUGUGACAUGUAGGGCCAAAAAAUGUAUAUCAUAUUCCACAUAGGAUAAUUCAUGCUGGAGAAAAAUCAUAAACAAUGAAUUUUAUGAGAGUUUUCAAAGGGAAAUUGGAAUUUGUUAGGUGUUGUUGAAUCAUAGUGGAAAAAACCCAAUGAAUGUAAGGAAUGUGGGGAAACUUUUUUAGGUGAUAAUCUUGACUCGCUGAACAUCAGAGAAUUCACAGUGGAAAAUGCCAUAGGAAUGUAAUGAGUGUGAGAAAAGUUUCUAGAAGAGUUCAUACCUUGUUCAACAUCAGAAAAUUCAUUUGAGACAAACCCCUGUGAGUAUGUUGAGUGUGGAAGAGCCCUCAGCUACAGCUUAGGUCUCAUUGAACAUCGGUGAAUUCAUACUGGAAAAAAUCUUAUGAAUGUAAUGAGUGUGGGGAAACAUUUAGAUAUAAUUCAGCAUUAUCUAAAACAUUUAGAUAUAAUUCUUAACAGUUCAGAGACUUCAUGUUAGAAGAGAAACCAUUUAAAUAUAAUGACUGCAGGAAAACCUUUCCUCAGAGCCCACAUCUCAUUCUAUAUCACUGAGUCUACUCAUGAGAGAAACCCUGUAAUUUAUUGAAUGCUAUAGAACCUUUAAUCAGCUCUUGAACAUCAAACAAUUCAUUCUGGAGAGAAACCCUGUGAAUAACGUCACCAAGUGUUGGAGGGUCUUCAGUUAUACUGAUGGUUGAAACCCAGAGAAUUCACACAGGAGAGAAACUGGCUGUAAUAAAUGUGGACAUGAAAAAAAAAAAAAGAACAAAACUGUGGACAUGCUCGCUGACCUAGGUGAAGCUUUACAACAACAUCAAAGACUUCAUUUUGGGGAAGAAUCUUAUGAAUGUAAUGAAUGUGGUGAUACCCUCACUAGACUUGUGCCUGAGAAUCUGCUUCUGAAAAAAGAGAGAAUAAAAACU